GCACGGGAGCACUUUGCGGGGCGAGGAGACUCCGUGGCACCCCACAAGUGCUCGUUCCUGUCCCCUUCCUUUAGAGGGAGGUUCUGGAAGCGCCCAAUGUAACAAACAGGUUAGAAACCAAGAUUCCCUGUGUAGGUUGGUUGGCUGUGGUUUAGAAACAUUAUAUUUAGAUGCCCAAGACCACUCGCAAACACUCAUUGAUGCCAAAUAUAGACGGCUCACUACCUGUUUAUAGCAAAACACACAGAAGCAAAAACCCCAACUUUUUUGCCAGCCUGUUUCGAGGUGCCAGAUGUGUACAAGUGAGGGGUCGGUUCUGAGAAGGGCGCCGCGGCGAUGGCUUCCUGAGAGCGUGAGCCCCCGCCCCUGUGCCCAGCGCCUGCCGUCCUUGCCUGGAGUUUUCUGUGAAUGGGCAGGAGACUGUACACAGUCGGUGCUAAGGGGAUGUCUGGAGAACUGGUCUCCCGCACAGCCGCAGUGGUGGCCGGGCUGCCUCCGCCUGACUUGACCCCAGCCCUCCUCCAAGGCACUGAGCUCGGGAACAGAAGAAAUAAUCCUAGAGUGCGCAGCGCAGGAAAGGAUGACGA